AUGGUCGCGCGGCCUGGGGCGAUCCGAGAGCGGAGGGGGCCGGGGGAAAAUGGUGGUCGCGUCGGUCGCGCAGUGGGUGGUUUCAGAGGGAAGGCAGGGUCUGAUGCUUGGCUGGUCUGGGCCGCGCCCGUCGCAAGCACGUCGUGAGGCAGCUAGACCGCAUCAAGGGUCACCUUCUGCGGGGCGGGAAGGAAGUCCUGCAGGGCUGAUUCUGCUUGCUGCUCAGGAGCGGCUACGUUGAAAAGUGAAUGAGUUUCCUCCCAGACGUGCCAGUGACUACCAUCGAGUUACGAUUAUUAAAAGCACAAAAGCAACAUGCCCUUAGAGAUGGGGACUACUUCUGGAUACGUGUUAAUCCUGUGCAGGUGUUCUUGGGAUACAGAUCAUCUGCACUUCCUGCUCUGACAAGGCAGUGUGCUGAGACAGGGAUGAGCUCCUGAAGACAAAAAAAGAGGCCAGGUGCUGGGGUUUUUGUCUCUUUCUUUGUUUUGUGUGGGUGGGUGGUUUCCAAAACAGGGUGUGAGGUUGACUGCAGUGGCAGCCCGCAGAGCUCUUUUGCUGUCUGACCUCCCCUUUUCUUUUUCACUCCUCUUUCAUGGCUGUAACUUUCAUUUGGAUCAUUUUAGCAGAGUAGUUAAGUGACUUGCCUGUGGAAAUGUGCUGAUAGUAGCAAGAAGGUAAAUGCUUGAAGCAGUAGUGAGCAACUUGCCUACAGGUAGAAUUUGUGAAAGAAUAACAACAACAAUAGCAGAAAGCAAAUCACAAGUUUCCAAAAAAUCGUGUGUGUUAAACACAUCGAAGUUUAAUUGCUAAAUGUUGUUUGGCAGUGUGUUCCAAGUGGCUAUUUUUGAUAAAAAGUUCAGGGUUGUGUAUGUUACAACCUGUCCCUCUAUCUAUGUGUCCUGCUCCAUAAAUGUCUGGCGGCAGGGCUGUUGUUCACUGCUCUAGGUCUGGACGCAGUAGGACUGUGAUAUUUAGACCUGACAGAUGGGUUUAGGAACGGAAGGAGAAUGCCUGUCUUCUGUAAGGGCUGUGAACGCUGACCCUUUUCUCCUGCUGCUGCUUUCCUGUGCAGCAGGUGAAGGUGUUUUAUUUUUCUCCCUUGUUCCUGGUCUAGCUAUCUCUGAAAUGGCUGUUGUGGGUUUGCAAUUAGUGUUACUGGGUUUUUGUGGAGCUCUUGUUGUGGAUCAGUUCUGAUGGUGUCAAGAUGAGGUGUUCAGCUUGCAGCUCCAGAAGUCACAUCCCCUGAAAUGGGUGCGGGUGAAGCUGCCGUUGGGCCUGUGGCUGUGCUUGUGGGGGUGCUCAGGGGCUCCCCAUCAAACAGCAGGGUGUGUGUGGGCACCCGUGGGGCUGUGUUUUGCUCUGGGAGCUGCCCUGCUUUGGCUGUUGGGGGACAGAACAAAGUGUGUGCCUGGUAAAUCCCAGGGCAGUCAAAAGCUGGGAGCAAGUUUGGUGAUGCGACAGCAGUUUGAAAAGUUCUUGGCUGUUGAGAGAAACAGCCUGGAAAAAAAUAAUUUCUUUUUUUGCAAGAAGGCAGUUUACAAGGACAGCUGGAUUGUUCUACCUUUUAACAACAACAUUCAACUUGGGAUGUAUAGGGUGAGGAAGCCUUGGCUCUGUGUAGGCUUGAGAAAAGGUAGGUAGGCAUCUGGGGCUGUCACUUGUGUGUAUCUGGGCAAGUGGCCCUAGUGAAACUGAAGCUGCCAGUGGGUCAAAAAAAGGCAGGAUUGUCUUAAAAAUGCAAAAGCUCUAGUGGCUGGGUCUGUUGGGGUCUGUAGGGAUUUGUAGGGGCACGUGGGGUCGGUAGGGGUCUGCAGGGUUCUGUAUGGGGUCUGUAGGGGUUCGUGGGGUUUCGUAGGGGUCUGUAGAAGUCUGUAGGAAAUCAUAGGGGUCUUUAUGGUAUUGUAGCGGUCUGUAGGGGUUCAUAGGCAUCUGUUGGGAUUUGUAGGGGUUUGGAGGGGACUGUAGGGGUUCGUGGGAGAAAACAGGGGUCCAUAGGGUUCUGUAGAGGUCUGUAGGGAAUCAUAGGGGUCUUUAAUGUAUCGUUGGGGUCUGUAGGGAAUCAUAGAGUCUUUACGGUAUUGUCGGGGUCUGUAGGGGUUUGUGGGGUUUCGUAGGGUCAGUAGGGCUCUGUGGGGGUUCAUAGGGCUCUGUGGGGGUUUGUAGGGGUCCGUGGGGUCCAUGGAGUCUGUAUGAAUUCGUAGGGGUCUGUGGGGGUCUGUAAGGUGUCGUUGGGGUCUGUGGGAUUCUGUGGGCAUCCGUAGGGGUCCUUAGGGACUCGUGGGGGUCUGUGGACUUUUGUGGGGGUUUGGUGGAUCUGUGGGGAUCUCUAGGGGUCCGUGGGCGUCCGUAGGCAUUCAUAGGGAUCUGUGGUGGCCCUUAUGAAUGUGUAGGAGUCCGUGGACGUACUUGGGAUCCAUGGGGGUCUGUAAGAAUUUGUGGGUGUCCAUGGGGGUCUGUGCCGGUCCGUGGGCAUCAUAGGGGUCUGUGGGAGUUCAUGGGUGUCUGUGGGGUCUGUAAAGGUUCGUUGGGGUCUGCGGGGGUUGGUGGGCAAUUGUGGGGGUCUGUGGUGUCUAUGGGCAUCUGUAGGGAGAGGGGGCC